AUACGGAGGGUGCAAGCGUUACUCGGAAUCACUGGGCGUAAAGCGCGCGCAGGCGGCUUGAUAAGUUGGAUGUGAAAGCCUACGGCUCAACCGUAGAACUGCAUCCAAAACUGUCAGGCUAGAGUGUGGGAGAGGAAGAUGGAAUAAGUUGUGUAGGGGUAAAAUCCGUAGAGAUAACUAGGAAUACCAAAAGCGAAGGCAAUCUUCUGGAACACUACUGACGCUGAGGCGCGAAGGCGUGGGGAGCAAACAGGAUUAGAAACCCUAGUAGUCC
rnacentral:rRNA from 1 species